UGACGAGUGGCGGACGGGUGAGUAAUGUCUGGGAAACUGCCUGAUGGAGGGGGAUAACUACUGGAAACGGUAGCUAAUACCGCAUAACGUCGCAAGACCAAAGAGGGGGACCUUCGGGCCUCUUGCCAUCGGAUGUGCCCAGAUGGGAUUAGCUUGUUGGUGGGGUAACGGCUCACCAAGGCGACGAUCCCUAGCUGGUCUGAGAGGAUGACCAGCCACACUGGAACUGAGACACGGUCCAGACUCCUACGGGAGGCAGCAGUGGGGAAUAUUGCACAAUGGGCGCAAGCCUGAUGCAGCCAUGCCGCGUGUAUGAAGAAGGCCUUCGGGUUGUAAAGUACUUUCAGCGGGGAGGAAGGGAGUAA
rnacentral:rRNA from 1 species